rnacentral:rRNA from 1 species
UACGGGGGGGGCAAGCGUUGUUCGGAAUUACUGGGCGUAAAGGGCUCGUAGGUGGCCAACUAAGUCAGACGUGAAAUCCCUCAGCUUAACUGGGGAACUGCGUCUGAUACUGGAUGGCUUGAGUUUGGGAGAGGGAUGCGGAAUUCCAGGUGUAGCGGUGAAAUGCGUAGAUAUCAAGAGGAACACCUGAGGUGAAGACGGGUUGCUGGGCUGACACUGACGCUGAGGCGCGAAAGCGUGGGGAGCAAACAGG